rnacentral:rRNA from 1 species
UGGGGAAUAUUGGACAAUGGGCGAAAGCCUGAUCCAGCCAUGCCGCGUGUGUGAAGAAGGUCUUCGGAUUGUAAAGCACUUUAAGUUGGGAGGAAGGGCAUUAACCUAAUGCGUUAGUGUUUUGACGUUACCGACAGAAUAAGCACCGGCUAACUCUGUGCCAGCAGCCGCGGUAAUACAGAGGGUGCAAGCGUUAAUCGGAAUUACUGGGCGUAAAGCGCGCGUAGGUGGUUUGUUAAGUUGGAUGUGAAAUCCCCGGGCUCAACCUGGGAACUGCAUUCAAAACUGACUGACUAGAGUAUGGUAGAGGGUGGUGGAAUUUCCUGUGUAGCGGUGAAAUGCGUAGAUAUAGGAAGGAACACCAGUGGCGAAGGCGACCACCUGGACUAAUACUGACACUGAGGUGCGAAAGCGUGGGGAGCAAACA